UACAGAGGGUGCAAGCGUUAAUCGGAAUUACUGGGCGUAAAGCGCGCGUAGGUGGUUUGUUAAGUUGGAUGUGAAAUCCCCGGGCUCAACCUGGGAACUGCAUCCAAAACUGGCAAGCUAGAGUACGGUAGAGGGUGGUGGAAUUUCCUGUGUAGCGGUGAAAUGCGUAGAUAUGGGAAGGAACACCAGUGGCGAAGGCGACCACCUGGACUGAUACUGACACUGAGGUGCGAAAGCGUGGGGAGCAAACAGG
rnacentral:rRNA from 1 species